rnacentral:lncRNA from 1 species
GAGAUGGAAGCAAAGUUCCAGUUCUAGCAUUAGGAAUCAUGAACCUUGUAAUCAAUUCUCGAAACAUAAUUCUGAGUGAAUGUCACUAUUGUCCAAGCUUUUUAUUAAAUAUUAUUUCUGUAGGCCUUUUGGCCAUGAACGGUUAUCAAUUUUUAAUAAAAAGAAAUAUUUGCAAUAUCAUUUUGAAUGGUGUUACAAUGUUUGUUGGACAACUUAAUAAUGGAAUUUACUU